rnacentral:rRNA from 1 species
GAUUCUGGCUCAGGAUGAACGCUGGCGGCGCGCCUAACACAUGCAAGUCGAACGGAGAUUAUUAUGAAGUACCUCGGGUGCGGAUGAUGAUCUUAGUGGCGAACGGGUGAGUAACACGUGAAGAACCUGCCUUUCAGAGGGGGAUAACACUUAGAAAUAGGUGCUAAUACCGCAUAAGACCACAAUGCCACAUGGCGAAGGGGUCAAAGGAGAAAUCCGCUGAGAGAUGGCUUCGCGCCCGAUUAGGCAGUUGGUGAGGUAACGGCCCACCAAACCUACGAUCGGUAGCCGGACUGAGAGGUCGAUCGGCCACAUUGGGACUGAGACACGGCCCAGACUCCUACGGGAGGCAGCAGGUGGGGGAUAUUGCACAAGUACGGGGGGAAACCCUGAUGCAGCGACGCCGCGUGAGGGAAGAAGGUUUUCGGAUUGUAAACCUCUGUCUUCGGGGACGAUAAUGGCGGUACCCGAGGAGGAAGCCACGGCUAACUACGUGCCAGCCGCAGC